UACGUAGGGGGCAAGCGUUGUCCGGAAUUAUUGGGCGUAAAGCGCGCGCAGGCGGCCGUUUAAGUCUGGUGUUUAAGCCCGGGGCUCAACCCCGGUUCGCACUGGAAACUGGGCGGCUUGAGUGCAGGAGAGGAAAGCGGAAUUCCACGUGUAGCGGUGAAAUGCGUAGAUAUGUGGAGGAACACCAGUGGCGAAGGCGGCUUUCUGGCCUGUAACUGACGCUGAGGCGCGAAAGCGUGGGGAGCGAACAGG
rnacentral:rRNA from 1 species